GUCCCGAUAGCUCAGUUGGCAGAUCGUAGGUCUCAUAAUCCUAAGGUCGUGAGUUCGAGCCUCACUCGGGGCA
rnacentral:tRNA from 1 species